UACGUAGGUGGCAAGCGUUGUCCGGAAUUACUGGGCGUAAAGCGUGCGCAGGCGGUUAUGCAAGACAGAUGUGAAAUCCCCGGGCUCAACCUGGGAACUGCAUUUGUGACUGCAUGGCUGGAGUGCGGCAGAGGGGGAUGGAAUUCCGCGUGUAGCAGUGAAAUGCGUAGAUAUGUGGAGGAAUACCGAUGGCGAAGGCAGCCCCCUGGGAUAACACUGACGCUCAGGCACGAAAGCGUGGGGAGCAAACAGG
rnacentral:rRNA from 1 species